GACGGAAGGUGCAAGCGUUGCUCGGAAUCACUGGGCGUAAAGGGUGCGUAGGCGGCCUGGUAAGUCUGGCGUGAAAGCCCAGGGCUCAGCCCUGGAAGGGCGCUAGAAACUGCUUUGCUUGAGGCCGGGAGAGGCGAGUGGAAUUCCCAGUGUAGCGGUGAAAUGCGUAGAUAUUGGGAGGAACACCAGUGGCGAAGGCGGCUCGCUGGACCGGUUCUGACGCUGAGGCGCGAAAGCGUGGGGAGCAAACGGG
rnacentral:rRNA from 1 species